rnacentral:tRNA from 1 species
GCCAUGGCUCAGUGGUACAGCCUCUGCUUGGCAUAUAGCAGGCCGCAGGUUCAAUCCCUGCCAUCUCCA